ensembl:ncRNA H02I12.10 ncRNA
CCCAUGUGAUGUUUCUCGGCUUACAACUUUUGAAAUACGUAUCAGAUUUCCAAGAGAUCAGGAGACGCAGACGAUAAAUCACGUCACGGAUAC